GAUGAAGAACGCAGCGAAAUGCGAUAAGUAAUGUGAAUUGCAGAAUUCAGUGAAUCAUCGAAUCUUUGAACGCACAUUGCGCCCCCUGGUAUUCCGGGGGGCAUGCCUGUUCGAGCGUCAUUUCACCACUCAAGCCUCGCUUGGUAUUGGGCUACGCGGUCCGCCGCGUGCCUCAAAUCGACCGGCUGGGUCUUCUGUCCCCUAAGCGUUGUGGAAACUAUUCGCUAAAGGGUGUUCGGGAGGCUACGCCGUAAAACAACCCCAUUUCUAAGGUUGACCUCGGAUCAGGUAGGGAUACCCGCUGAACUUAAGCAUAUCAAAAGCGGAGGA
rnacentral:misc_RNA from 1 species